AGGGACCGUGUCCUGGUGGACAGCCUGGGUGCUCAGGUGGUCCAGAUGCCGGCCUGAGCACAGCAGCAUCUGGGAGAGGCACAGCAACUUUUCUAAGGAGGCUUCACAUGAGCUCUUUUCAUUCACCAGAAGGUGGGGUCUUUAUAUUUUCUGCAGAUCAGGCACCUCUAAAUAUCCCAGCUUGGGGACCUGAAAAUUGCAGCUCUUCGAAUCACCAGCUGAUCUGAAAAUUAUGCCCUCAUAUUUUGCCCUACUCAGAUCUUUGGGACAGAUUCUGCUGUUAUCUUCACCAGAACCGAACCCAGGAUUUCCCCCGUGAUGCUUGGCUUGAAGAUGGGGACUGCCCAGAUGUUCUACUUGUCCUGCUGAGUUUUCAGCCCCAGCAACCUGACUCAGGACCCAGAAGAUGCAGAGGGCUCCAGGGUGUGAAGAGGGGACAUGGGGAGCUGUGAGUUCCCUUGCAGGGAAGAGAGCAAGCACGGGCAGGGAGAGAAGCAACCUGAAUUACUCACCGAGCAUUGGAAACCAAGAAGUCUCUGCAGAUGCAAGCUUGAUUUCAACUAAGCUUUUCCCACCUUCUGUUUGAUUUGUCUAUGGAUUCUUCUUCUGAACAGUUGUAACAUGGCUGGCUCCUGGAAAAUGAGUUCGUAAACCACCUCUUGAAUCUGGUGCACCAGUGGCCAGCAGAGCUGAUUUUGUGGAUCUGUUUACAUCUCUGGUGUUUCAACUGGCCACAGCUGGCCACGGUAAAUCAAGGACUGCCACCAACUCAAAUCAGAGGUACAGAGCUCCGAGGUGAACAGAUGCUCUCUUCUCACUGAUCAGAUUCAUUGGCACUUCGUACAUCUCAUAUGCUUUGCUUUCUGCAUCUGUUACUUGGUUGCACUUUCAAAGAAUAAUGUUUAAAUAUAUAUAACAAGAAAAGCCAAGGCAGAAAACAUAAAAAGAAAACAAAACCUAAAAGACAUCUGACUGCAGCAAUACUCUGCUGGGAAAAUCCACUCAGCAAUCCAGAGAUAUCCACAAGCAUCGAGUCUUGUUCUAGGACUGAGUGAAGGACAGGCCCUUGAUUCAAAUGUGCUCUUGGCACUGGAGAAACUGAAGAGCUCAUUGCAUUAUGGUUUCCUGCAAGGAUCAAAAUAUUAUGAUUAGGGCACCUAUUUCAGUGCAGCUUCUCUCCAUAUAUAAGGUUUGAGGUGGGUCACAUCAAACUCUGGGGUCAGGAGGGCUGCUAAUGUUUGGAAGAGGCAGGACCGAAAGUUAUGGUUUGUUGGCAUGUCUUGGGGUGAGCUUAGGAAAUAUUCUCUCCACAGAG
rnacentral:lncRNA from 1 species